CCAGCAGCCGCGGUAAUACGGAGGAUGCGAGCGUUAUCCGGAUUUAUUGGGUUUAAAGGGUGCGUAGGCGGGCUUUUAAGUCAGCGGUAAAAAUUCGGGGCUCAACCCCGAAACUGCCUCUAAUACUGUUGGACUAGAGAAUAGUUGCGGUAGGCGGAAUGUAUGGUGUAGCGGUGAAAUGCUUAGAGAUCAUACAGAACACCGAUUGCGAAGGCAGCUUACCAAACUAUAUCUGACGUUGAGGCACGAAAGCGUGGGUAGCAAACAG
rnacentral:rRNA from 1 species